AGGUAGAAGGCUCGACGGGUACGUAAACUUCCUUUCUCAGAGAAGAUGUAAUGACGGUAUCUGGAAGGAAAUAAGCAUCGGACUAACUCUGUC
rnacentral:rRNA from 1 species